GAUGAACGCUGGCGACGUGCCUAAUACAUGCAAGUCGAGCGAACAGACGAGGAGCUUGCUCCUCUGACGUUAGCGGCGGACGGGUGAGUAACACGUGGAUAACCUACCUAUAAGACUGGGAUAACUUCGGGAAACCGGAGCUAAUACCGGAUAAUAUAUUGAACCGCAUGGUUCAAUAGUGAAAGACGGUUUUGCUGUCACUUAUAGAUGGAUCCGCGCCGCAUUAGCUAGUUGGUAAGGUAACGGCUUACCAAGGCAACGAUGCGUAGCCGACCUGAGAGGGUGAUCGGCCACACUGGAACUGAGACACGGUCCAGACUCCUACGGGAGGCAGCAGUAGGGAAUCUUCCGCAAUGGGCGAAAGCUUGACGGAGCAACGCCGCGUGAGUGAUGAAGGUCUUCGGAUCGUAAAACUCUGUUAUUAGGGAAGAACAAAUGUGUAAGUAACUAUGCACGUCUUGACGGUACCUAAUCAGAAAGCCACGGCUAACUACGUG
rnacentral:rRNA from 1 species